GAUCAUGUUGCUGAAUUAUUUGAGAUACAUAAUCAAUUUUUGUUACUACUAGCUUAACUGGAAAAGGCCGUUCUUGCACAUUUUCACUGCUCUUGUCGCAAUACAGAUUGAAACCUGGAUAGCCACAGAUUUCUGGCUAUAGAAAUUUAUGCCUGAAAGGAAAUCGAGUGUUCGGGCCCCCUUCAACGCACCAGGUUGUUGUACAGUUGUUUAAUCCUGCGACAAGCAGUGGAAAGAAACUGAAGAAGAACUUGUACAGGAUGAACAUUUUAAUCUUCAAAGCCAUAUCUAUUUCUGCACCUUCCUCUCUUAUCAGCGUGACUCAAAGAUAAGAAAUUUUGUUUUCAUUAAUGUCACUCGAACAAAAUUU
rnacentral:lncRNA from 1 species